UAUAUAUAUAAUUAAAUUAAUUAUUAUUUUAUAAGAAUAAUUAUUUUGAAUAAAUUAUCUCACUUACGUGUACUCUUUUUUUUUAAUCAAACUGAAUGCUCUACUUUUUUCAAGUACAUAAAGCCAGGCACUUCAUUUUUAUCACACAUUAUAUAGAGCGUAUAUCUGACAAUAUAUGUUGGUACAUAUAUCCAUCAUACGCAUAACAGAUUUGUACUAAAUCUACAAAAUUCUGAUAAGCCCGUUCGAACAAUUUCCAAUAUUCAAAAAUACAUACACGAUGCUUCUCAUUAUAUAAUUAUAUUAUAUAAUUACGCAUUUUGUAGUACGUCUAAAUAAGUAUUCAUAAGCGAUCUUUGUUAUCGAUCUUUCUCAAUGAGGUAGUUUGAUUUAUCGGUUCGAAAAAUAGCGGGGAAACACAUAUUAGGCACGCAUCUAACUAUUAUCGAAUAAAAUAGGAAGAUAAUAUCUCGAUCUCAAGAUGUUAGGAUCGUAUGCAGCUAUGAAAGAAAAGCCAUAGACAAUGUAAAUUACGAAUUAACGAGCUAAUUGUUCUCCUUCGUGAAUUAACUUGAAACGCACAAUUGGCAGCAGUAACUACACAUGACUCAGUCUAUAUUCGUUCUUAUUAAGCAUCAAUUGGUGUUGUGAUGGCAGUUAUUAUAAGAGGGAUGCAUACAAGUCACCGAUCCGAGACUUAAUUUCUCAAAUUCAUUUUAAUCGUUUCGAAUCGAACUCUUAUUCUUGGAAAUUGCUCGCCCGUGAGUCUAUAUAAUUCCACUAUGUGAACAAAGAUAUAAGAAUCUUAAAUUGCCACUGAAAUACUUCAUUAACGACGUGCAUUCGUGUCAACAAAAAUGUUUAUCACAACGACAUGCUGCUUUAUUUGUUCGCAUAUUGUUCUAAUAAACAGCAACAGCAUUGUAAGAAAGUUUCCCAUUGGAUGUAUCAUUUCUUAACUUCUACAAUUGAAGAGUAAGAAUAAUGGAAGAUCAUUUCAAAGUAAUAAUACGAAACUUGAUGUAAUUGGUACUUCAUGAAAUUAUUUAACGAAAUCAGAGGUAAUGAUAAAUUAAUGAUAGUAUUGAUAUAUAAAUAAAUGUUCUAAUAAAAAAUGUUUAAUUAAAUAUAUUUAUUUUCUUUUCUGAAAGAAGUAAAGAUAGCAUACAUCUAUAAGUGCUUCUACAUAUGAUUUUAAUUUAUAACAUUUUAAUUUAUGUAAAUGUCACAAUUAGUAGAA